GGGGGUGUAGCUCAUCUGGUAGAGCGCGUGCUUAGCAUUUCCACUUGGGUGAGAAAUCAUCACAAUACAUGUUAUCUGCACGAGGUACUGGGUUCGACUCCCAGCUCCUCCA